AGCUGGCUGGGCUCGGUAGAGCGCGGGCGAAUCGCUUUCGGCAGCGAAGGAACGUGUCGGGAGAAGCCAACUGCAGGACCAGGGCCCCAGCGGGCGCGCAGAGACGCCUGCCUUGGGCGGAGGUCCCCCCCUCCGGUUUUCGUGGCUCUGGUAGGGCCCUCUGUCCCGUGAGCUCCUCACUGGACCUGAGGCUACAGGCUUCAGCAGGUCAAGCGCCCGAGUGUGCCUGGAGGAUUGGCGGCGGGGUGGCAUGAGAAGGUGGCCCCUCUUCUCCAUCUCCCAGUCAGGCGAUUUCUCUGCUGUCUGGGGCAGGGGCGCACACCCCAGGAACUUACUACGUAGAGGGAAGCCAGCCUGGUCUCUCCCCCUUGCGUCAGUGCUCCUAAGCUGCCCCUCACCACUCUGGGUAGGGGUCUUUCAGGUGGGCUAGGGAAUUCUCCUUGGAAGUCCCCUUGUUUGCUCCCCUCCAUCAGGGCACCUCUGAGUUAGCCAAUCAUCCUCUUUUCUGGCCUCUUUUUUGCGGGGAGGAGAGUAGAGAGAGAAGCCUCCUACUCGGCAGGUCUCUGAGAGGAGGUUUGGGGGGGCUUCUGAGGUUGCUCCUCCUGGGCAGAGUCAAGGGGUGUUGAGGGUUCCAACUUUUACUGGACAAUCUCUCAAGCUCUGAUUCCCUGAUUUCUGGGAGGUGUCAGUGUAGGGCUUGUGUCCUGCCCCACCCACACAGCAUUUGGUGCAGGCACAUGGGAUGGUUCCCCAAGCCCUUUUCCCACAGUUAGUUUCAGAAAAUGCAUAAGCCACCUAAGGCUGGGAGAGCCUUUCUGUGCUGGCUGAGAUCUGGUGGCAUGUGCAUGCAUAUGUGUGCAAGUGUGUGUGUGUGUGUGCAAGUGUGUGUGCGCAUGUGCAUGUGUGUGGAAAGUAUGGUCUGGGUGGCUGUAAGACUGGCCCCUCUUGUCCCCUCUGCAGGCCCAGCCCAAUAGGAAGCACCUGAUCCACACUCUUUCUAGCCCCAGGGAUGCUCAGGAAAGCAGCCUUUCUUUAGGGCUGUCAUCUGUUCUGGGGAUCUGUUGCUGUUUCUUGGGCCCACAGAAUACACUCCACACCUCGGGACUCCAUAAUAUUGGACAAGGCUGGAAGGCCCAUUUGGCUCCUGCAGCCUCUUAUGCAGGAGGACCUCCUGAGGCUUCGGGCAGGAGCUGGUGCACACCUGGAGGAGAGUGCUGGUGAAUGGCAGUCAUCCUCUUCAGCGGUCCUCCCAGAGCUGUCCUCAGCAUGGCAGCCUCCACAGCCCCUGGGUGUCACCCCCGGUUUCGUGUCUGCCUCGGACUCCAGACCUGCCCCUCCCAGGCUGGCCCAGAUGGAUCCUCUACAGUGACUAACCCAAACCAGCACCAGGCAGGGACCCAAUAAACCUUUGUGAAUGGAGU
rnacentral:lncRNA from 1 species